rnacentral:rRNA from 1 species
UACGUAGGUGGCAAGCGUUGUCCGGAUUUACUGGGCGUAAAGAGCGCGCAGGCGGUCGUUCAAGUCGCGUGUGAAAGCCCCCGGCUCAACUGGGGAGGGUCACGCGAUACUGAUCGACUCGAAGGCAGGAGAGGGUAGUGGAAUUCCCGGUGUAGUGGUGAAAUGCGUAGAUAUCGGGAGGAACACCUGUGGCGAAAGCGGCUCACUGGACAGCAACUGACGCUGAUGCGCGAAAGCUAGGGGAGCAAACAGG